GUGCUAGUAGCUCAGCAGGUUAGAGCGUCAGAUUGUGAUUCUGAAGGUCAGCGGUUCGAGCCCGCUUUAGCACC
rnacentral:tRNA from 1 species